GCAUCCUUUMUAUGAGAGUAAAUBUWAUUAUAAAACCACACUCAAACAUUCCARUAUUUUCAUAAUCAAAGCAAAUKGGGACKCAAAACAUCAAUACCUCCUAUCUCAACCAUAAGCAUCCCACCRGAAUCAGSGAUUUCCUUUURGCACUCCCCKGCACCUUAKARAAAUCAAAUUCUUKGGCUUCSGGGGGAGUAUGCUCGCAUGCUCAAACUUAAAGGAAUUGACGGAAGGGCACCGCCAGGAGUGGGMCCGCGGGUUAAUUGUGACUCAACCGCCGGGGUAACUUACCAGCUCCAGACAUAGCGUAUAUUUAAGUUGAUUGACAGAUAAAAAGCUCGUUCUUGGUCCUAUGGGUUGUGGUCGAUCGGUCCGCCUCUUAGUUGGUGGGCAGCGGUUGGUCUCGUUCAUUCUGCUAACGGACGAUGCGCUCCUGGCCUGCUAAUUGGCCAGGUCGUGGUAACCCUCCACGGCGCUGUUACUUUGAAGAAAUUAGAGUGACUCAAAGCAAGCUUACGCUAUGGAUACUUUGAGGCAUGGGAUAACACCACAGGAUUCUGAUCCUAUUGUGUUGGCCUUCGGGAUCGGAGUAAUGAUUAACUGGGCCGGACGGGGGCUACACUGAUUCGUAUUUCAACGAGUCUAUAGGUGAAAUUCUUGGCUUUACGAAAGACGAACAACCGGGUAAUCUUUGCCAAGGAUGUUUUCAUCGUGAUCGGGAUAGAUCAUUGCAAUUGUUGGGGUCUUCAACGAGGAUCAGAUACCGUCCUAGUCUCAACCAUAAGCGAUGCCGACCAGUGAUCAGCGGAUGUCGCGUUUAGGACUACGUCCCUGGCACCUUAUGCACACACCGCCCGUCAAAGUCACUAGGUUGCGGCCGCCUAUGGUC
rnacentral:rRNA from 1 species